rnacentral:rRNA from 1 species
ACUCAAGAAAAGGAUAUUAGUCCAACCUGAAACCUCCGUAGUGACUAAAAACACUUCCUUGUCUUCAGCGUAAUUCAAAUAAGGUACAGCCUAUUUGAAACAGGAAACAACCUAAAUUAAAGGAUAAAAUUGGCUCUUAAACAAUCUAGUGGGCCCAAAAGCAGCCAUCUCUCGAAUAGCGUCAAAGCUUAAUUGUUACAAUGCCCAAUUCCAUUAACCCCACCUAAUCCUUCAUCAAUAUUGAGUAAUUCUAUAACAUUAUAGAAAAUUUUAUGUUGAAACUAGUAACAAGAAAAGACUUUCUCUUAAAUGUAGGUGUAAAUCAGAAAGGACAAGCCACUGAUACUUAACAUCACUGAGCCCAAAGUAGAAACUCAUCGAGAAAACCCUACUUUUAUUUAUGUUAAUUUAACACAAAAACAUUAUAAGAAAGAUUAAAAGAAAAAGAAGGAACUCGGCAAAUAUUAACCUCGCCUGUUUACCAAAAACAUCGCCUCUUGAAUCCUAUAAGAGGUCCAGCCUGCCCAGUGACUUUGUUCAACGGCCGCGGUAUCCUAACCGUGCGAAGGUAGCGUAAUCACUUGUUCUUUAAAUGGGGACUCGUAUGAAUGGCAUCACGAAGGUUAUACUGUCUCCUUUUUCUAAUCAGUGAAACUGAUCUUCCCGUGAAAAAGCGGGAAUACUAAUAUAAGACGAGAAGACCCUAUGGAGCUUAAAAUAACCUAACAUUUGCUUAAACAAUAAAAAAUUUCAGAACCUUAACUUCUACAAGCAGUAUGAUUUUAAAUUUUUGGUUGGGGUGACCGCGGAGAACAACAUAACCUCCAUGUUGAAAGAACUUAUUCUUAGCUAAGAUUUACUAAUCAAAGCAUCAACACAUUGACAUUCCUUGAUCCAAUAUAAUUGAUCAACGAACCAAGUUACCCUAGGGAUAACAGCGCAAUCUACUUCAAGAGCUCCUAUCGACAAGUAGGUUUACGACCUCGAUGUUGGAUCAGGGUAUCCCAGUGGUGUAGCCGCUACUAAAGGUUCGUUUGUUCAACGAUUAAAACCCUACGUGAUCUGAGU